UACGUAGGGGGCAAGCGUUAUCCGGAUUUACUGGGUGUAAAGGGAGCGUAGACGGUGAUGCAAGUCAGAAGUGAAAGCCCGGGGCUCAACCCCGGGACUGCAUUGGGAACUGCCCCGCUCGAGUGCCGGAGGGGCAGGCGGAAUUCCUAGUGUAGCGGUGAAAUGCGUAGAUAUUAGGAGGAACACCAGUGGCGAAGGCGGCCUGCUGGACGGUGUACUGACGCUGAGGCUCGAAAGCGUGGGGAGCAAACAGG
rnacentral:rRNA from 1 species